GGGGAAUAUUGGACAAUGGGGGCAACCCUGAUCCAGCCAUGCCGCGUGAGUGAAGAAGGCCUUCGGGUUGUAAAGCUCUUUCGGCGGGGAAGAAAUGGCAACGGCUAAUAUCCGUUGUUGAUGACGGUACCCGCAUAAGAAGCAACGGCGAACUCCGUGCCAGCAGCCGCGGUAAUACGGAGGGUCAAGCGUUAAUCGGAAUUACUGGGCGUAAAGCGCACGUAGGCUGCUUUGUAAGUCAGGGGUGAAAUCCCACGGCUCAACCGUGGAACUGCCUUUGAUACUGCUUAGCUUGAAUCCGGGAGAGGGUGGCGGAAUUCCAGGUGUAGGAGUGAAAUCCGUAGAUAUCUGGAGGAACAUCAGUGGCGAAGGCGGCCACCUGGACCGGUAUUGACGCUGAGGUGCGAAAGCGUGGGGAGCAAACA
rnacentral:rRNA from 1 species